rnacentral:sRNA from 1 species
CGACUUGCUGUGGACAAAUAAAAUGUAUAUGACUAUCAAAACCGCCAGCUGUGACAAUGUUACCUUCCGCGGCAAUAACCUCAGUGCCAGGCCCAAUAAUGACUUCCACGUUGCUUUGUGUAUCUGGAUUUCCUCCUUUCCCAAUCGCACAAAUUUUACCUCCUUUCAAACCAAUAUCUGCCUUGUAAAUUCCUGUAACAUCUACAAUAAGAGCAUUAGUGAUUAUUGUGUCUACAGCUCCUUCGUAACGAGAUAUCUGAGAUUGUCCCAUACCAUCUC